AGCAGCCGCGGUAAUUCCAGCUCCAAUAGCGUAUAUUAAAGUUGUUGCAGUUAAAAAGCUCGUAGUUGAACUUCGGGGUUUACUCAUUGGUCAGGCUUAAUUGUCUGUACUGGUGAGAUGAAUCUCUACCUUCUGAGGAACUUUCAUGCCAUUUAUUUGGUGUGGUUGGAAAUCAGGACUGUUACUUUGAAAAAAUUAGAGUGUUUAAAGCAGGCUAACGUCUGAAUACAUUAGCAUGGAAUAAUGAAAUAGGACGGAUUGAUUCUAUUUCGUUGGUUUCUAGGGUCACCGUAAUGAUUAAUAGGGAUAGUUGGGGGCAUUAGUAUUCAAUUGUCAGAGGUGAAAUUCUUGGAUUUAUUGAAGACUAACUACUGCGAAAGCAUUUGCCAAGGAUGUUUUCAUUAAUCAAGAACGAAAGUUAGGGGAUCGAAGACGAUCAGAUACCGUCGUAGUCUUAACCAUAAACUAUGCCGACUAGGGAUCGGAUGAUGUUAAUUUUUUAAUGACUCAUUCGGCGCCU
rnacentral:misc_RNA from 1 species